AUGGCCUUCUGCCCCUGGAUCUGCCUGUGCCGGACCCUUGGUAUCAUCGAGUCAGCAGAUGACCUUGGACUUGAGUCAGAACCCCACCCUUCCGUACAGCUGAGCAAUGCUCUCCUGCAGGAGAAAACCCCGCCCCUGAGCUCGCGUGUGUGGGGGGGGGGGGGUGUGGGGGGGGAGCGCGCGCGAUCUCGCGGGGCGGGUCUCGCAUGUGCGCCCGGCCUUGGCCCCCGGUUCCCCCCGGUUCGUCCGGGUUCGGCCUUGUUCAGGGGGUUCUUCUUUUUUAACAACCACGGGAAGCCGCGGCUCUCCAAGUUCUACCAGCCCUACAGUGAAGAUACACAACAGCAAAUCAUCAGGGAGACAUUCCACUUGGUAUCUAAGAGAGAUGAAAAUGUUUGUAAUUUCCUAGAAGGAGGAUUAUUAAUCGGAGGAUCUGACAACAAACUGAUUUAUAGACAUUAUCCAACGUUAUAUUUUGUCUUCUGUGUGGAUUCUUCAGAAAGUGAACUUGGCAUUUUAGAUCUAAUUCAAGUAUUUGUGGAAACAUUAGACAAGUGUUUUGAAAACGUCUGUGAACUGGAUCUAAUUUUCCAUGUAGACAAGGUUCACAAUAUUCUUGCAGAAAUGGUGAUGGGGGGAAUGGUAUUGGAGACCAACAUGAAUGAGACUGUUACACAAAUUGAUGCACAGAAUAAACUGGAGAAAUCUGAGGCUGGCUUAGCAGGAGCUCAAGCCCGUGCUGUAUCAGCUGUAAAGAAUAUGAAUCUUGCUGAGAUCCCAAGAAAUAUUAACAUUGGUGACAUCAGUAUAAAAGUGCCAAACCUGCCCUCUUUUAAAUAA